rnacentral:rRNA from 1 species
AAACGACUCUCGGCAACGGAUAUCUCGGCUCACGCAUCGAUGAAGAACGUAGCAAAAUGCGAUACUUGGUGUGAAUUGCAGAAUCCCGUGAACCAUCGAGUUUUUGAACGCAAGUUGCGCCCGUUGCCAUUCGGCCGAGGGCACGUCUGCCUGGGCGUCACGCA